CGCGGCUGAUGGACGAAGUGGACGAUCUUGCCACGCGAUAUCGCGCCGGGCAGCCGUUCCCGCACAUCGUCCUCGACGACGUGCUCCUGCCUGAGGUGUUCGCCCGCGCGACGGCUGAGUUCCCGGGCAUUCGGGACGAGUUCUGGAAGGGCUACCUGCACGUCAACGAGACGAAGUACUCCAACACGCAGCCGGAUUCGUGGGGUCCGACGCUGCGCGCCGUGGCCGAGGAGUUCUGCUCCCCUGAGUUCGUGGAGUUCCUCGCACGGCUCACCGGGAUCGACGGGCUGAUGCCGGACUGGACCAUGGACGGGGGUGGCCUCCACCAGACCCUGCGAGGCGGUCACCUCAACAUCCACGCGGACUUCACGACGCAUCACGACCACGACAACUGGGCGCGCCGGGUCAACAUCCUGCUCUACCUCAACGAGGAGUGGAACAGCGACGAGUGGGGCGGGAAGCUCGAGCUGUGGGACCCCGAGAUGACGGCCUGCCAGGCGACGGUGACGCCCGCCGGCAACCGGAUGCUCGUGUUCACCACGACCUUCGACAGCUUCCACGGCCACCCGGAUGCCCUCACGUGUCCCGACGACGUGGCCCGACGCUCCAUGGCGCUGUAUUACUUCACCGAGGAGGAGAAGGCAGUUCGCCGCUCCACCAACUACCAGGCUCGGCCCGACGAGAGCAGGGGCAAGAAGGCGGCUGUGUGGGCCGACCGACGCGCGCUCGACGUCUACGACCGCGUCAAGCGCCGUCUCGGUGUGUCGGACGAAGCUGUUCAGAAGGUGCUGUCGAGGGUGGAUCGGCUUCGGCGUCGCUGACCGGCGCCGUGCCGACCGUCGUGGAGCGAGGCUCGCCGGGAUCCCGGUGCGUCGUGGAUGACCGGCCGGCGACUCCACGCACGGUCGCUCCGGCCAGCGCGCCCAGGUAGGUGGGGAUCCCGCGGUCGACCCGGCUCCACCGUGGGUCGACCAGCGCUCGCCCGACCCAGUGCUCGACCGUGCGGUCGUUGAUGACGGCGAUGGUCACCGUGAGCACGACCGCCACCACUGUGCGCAGCUGGUAGCUCCACGACUCCGUGUGGUGGUAGAGGUACAUGUAGAUCGGGAAGUGCCAGAUGUAGAGGCUGAGCGACCGUCGGCCCAGGAGCGCCAGCGGGGCGAAACCGACGACACGCGUCAGGCCGGCAGACACUGGCGCGAUGGUGCAGGCGACGACGAAGACCGCCAGUGCCACGUCGACCAGGUCUCCGGGGAGCCGGAAGAACUGGACGUCGUCGACCGUGGCGAACGACAGGGCGAGCAGCACCAGCAGGGAGCCCACUGCGGCGGGAGGGGCCCAGCGCGCCGCGCGUCGGGCGUACGGAGUCAGGCAGGCGGCGAGCGCUCCGGAGAGCGGGGCGUCCAUCCGGGCGUUCGUCCGCAGCAAGGCCUGGUAGAGACCCUCGGUCUGGUAGACGUGCGUGCGCCAGGCGAAGACCAUCACCAGGAUGACUGCCAGGGUGCCGAUCAGCGCCCACGGCUUCUUGUGCAGCAGCCACACGAGCAGGAGCACCAGCAAGAACACCUGCAUGUCGACGGACAAGUACCACAGGUGCCCGAGGUCGGGUCGGGCGACGAGGGAGUUGUCCUUGACGUACCAGUUCCAGGUGUACGUCAGGAUCGAGCGGGCCGAGUCGCCGAGGUUGAGGCCUUCGUAGGUCGGCGUGGGCUCGAACAGCUUGACGCACGCCAGUGCACCGAGGAGGACCAGCACCCCGGGCGUCAACCUCAGGACACGGCGCACGACCUGGACGCCCGGGUGCAGGCCGUGCGGCGAGGCAGCCCGGUUGAGGAGGCUCCGGGUGUAGAGGAAGGCGCCGACCACGAAGAAGAUGGAGACAG
rnacentral:misc_RNA from 1 species